rnacentral:snRNA from 1 species
AGAUGCUCAUCACGUAUGC